rnacentral:rRNA from 1 species
UGGGGAAUAUUGGGCAAUGGGGGCAACCCUGACCCAGCGACGCCGCGUGGGGGAAGACGGCCUUCGGGUUGUAAACCUCUUUUGUACGGGAAGAAGGAAGUGACGGUACUGUACGAAUAAGUCCCGGCUAACUACGUGCCAGCAGCCGCGGUAAUACGUAGGGGACGAGCGUUGUCCGGAAUUACUGGGCGUAAAGGGCGCGCAGGCUGUGCUGCAAGUCAGCUGUUAAAUGUCUGGGCUUAACCCGGGCAUGCGGUUGAGACUGCGGUGCUGGAGUGCUGUAGAGGCAAGUGGAAUUCCCAGUGUAGCGGUGAAAUGCGUAGAUAUUGGGAAGAACACCGGUGGCGAAGGCGACUUGCUGGGCAGCAACUGACGCUGAGGCGCGAAAGCCAGGGGAGCAA